CCUAGCUUGCUAGGUGGACUAGUGGCGCACGGGUGAGUAAUAUAUAGAUAACGUGCCUCUUAGUCUGGGAUAGCCAUUGGAAACGAUGAUUAAUACUAGAUACUCCUUCUAACUCUAAUGUUAGUUGGGAAAGUUUUUCGCUAAGAGAUCGGUCUAUAUCCCAUCAGCUAGUUGGUAGUGUAAGAGACUACCAAGGCAAUGACGGGUAGCGGGUUUGAGAGGAUGAUCCGCCACACUGGUACUGAGACACGGACCGGACUCCUACGGGAGGCAGCAGUGAGGAACAUUGCACAAUGGAGGAAACUCUGAUGCAGCAACGCCGCGUGGAGGAUGACGCAUUUCGGUGUGUAAACUCCUUUUAUAUGUCAAGAAAAUGACGGUAGCAUAUGAAUAAGCACCGGCUAACUC
rnacentral:rRNA from 1 species